rnacentral:SRP_RNA from 1 species
CAUUGGUGCCUCCGCAACAUGAAACCGUGAACCCGGUCAGGCCCGGAAGGGAGCAGCCGAAGCGGUGGAAUUGUGUGCCGGG